UAUGCAACUUUGAAUGCACUUUUUCACUGAACAACAUUAUUAUUUAACGAGCACUUAUGUAAGACCCAUUACUAUAGUGCAGUUUAUCAUGCAAUCUUCAAUGCACUUUUUCCAAGGUAAUAAUGGAAAGUUUCACAUAAUUAUUUGAUAGAGCAAGAAAGAAUAAGGAUAAGAAAGAGAUGUGAUGCUUCCCCCAUUUAUCUCCACCAGCCAAUUUUAGUAUAAAAGCAAGUAUCAGAUAACAUCUACUAUAUAGCCACUAUCACCUUCCAGGACUUCAACAUCAAGACUGCCUACUCUGCUACUAUUUGCCAGCAUCACACAAUAUCCUAACAAAGUUCAGCUCCAAUCUCAAGUAGGCUACCAACACCAAACUUCAUCAGCCAAAUUUUAUUGAGGUGUGAGUUGGCUCCAGCUUCAAGACAGUAGGCUACCAACACCAAACUUCAUCAACCAAAUUUUAUUGAGGUGUGAGUUUGCUCCAGCUUCAAGACAGUAGGCUACCAACACCAAUCUUCAUCAACAAAAUUUAAUUGAAAUGAUUUCAAUACUUUCUCUAUUUCAACUUAUACACAUUCAAGGAGUGAACAGCAUUGAUCUAUGGGAGAAGUUUAUUCUAUACCUUGAAAAAGAAGUUAAAAAUGGGAAAAAAACUAUCAAAUAUUUUUUAUGAUAUA